UAGGGAAUCUUCGGCAAUGGGGGGAACCCUGACAGAGCAACGCCGCGUGAGUGAAGAAGGUUUUCGGAUCGUAAAGCUCUGUUGUUAAGGAAGAACGAGUGUGAGAAUGGAAAGUUCAUACUGUGACGGUACUUAACCAGAAAGGGACGGCUAACUACGUGCCAGCAGCCGCGGUAAUACGUAGGUCCCGAGCGUUGUCCGGAUUUAUUGGGCGUAAAGCGAGCGCAGGCGGUUAGAUAAGUCUGAAGUUAAAGGCAGUGGCUCAACCAUUGUAGGCUUUGGAAACUGUUUAACUUGAGUGCAGAAGGGGAGAGUGGAAUUCCAUGUGUAGCGGUGAAAUGCGUAGAUAUAGGGGGGAACACCGGUGGCGAAAGCGGCUCUCUGGUCUGUAACUGACGCUGAGGCUCGAAAGCGUGGGGAGCGAACAGG
rnacentral:rRNA from 1 species